AUGUUUAAGAACCAGACUUCUGGCCACCUGCCACUGCCAGAGUUCUGUAGUACGGCAUCGAGGAGAAUAGAGAGCAAACCUGUGAUAACCUGUCUCAGAACCUUCCCCAUCAUCUGCUCCUUCGUCUUCUGGAUCACGGAGGUGAUCCUGCUGGCUGCCAGAGCCUGAGGCAAGCUCACACAUGGCACCUACAGCUCCCUGGCUGCUGAGAAUGCCACAAAUGCUCCGUAUCUGCUGAUUGGGACUGGCACCACCAUCGUCAUUUUUGGCUUGCUUGAAUGCUUUGCCACAUGCCAUGGUAGCCCAUGGAUGCUGAAGCUGUAUGCCACGUUCCUGUCUUUGGUGUUCCUGGCUGAGCUUGUCGCUGGCAUUUCGGGCUUUGUGUUUCAUCAUGAGAUCAAGGACACCUUCCUCAGGACUAACACGGAUGCCAUGCAGAAUGGCAAUGGCAAUGAUGAGAGGAGCUGGGCAAGUGCACUAUGUGCAGCACAGCCUGAGCUGCUGGUGUGCAGAACUACACCAACCGGAGUGCCAGCCCCUACUUCCUGGAGCACGGCAUCCCCCCACGUGGCUGCACAAAUGAAAUUGGCUGCAAUGCCCAGGAUCUGCACAAUCUGAUUACGGUUGCCACCAAACUUAACCAGAAGAGUUGUUACGAUCCAGUGACCAGUUUCAUGGAGACAAACAUAGGGAUCAUUGCUGGAGUGGUUUUGGAAUCGCACUCUCAGUUGAUUGGCAUGCUGCUGGCCUGAUGUCUGCCCUGGUUCUUCACGGCCAAUCAAUGA